UAUUUCAUGCCAAACACACCACUAUACUCUUUUCCCUCCCUUUCCCUUUACCCCCCUAACCCUAGGCGCCGCCCUUUGAUCUCUCUCUCUAUAUCUCAUCGCCAAAAAUGGAAAAAAUUCAGAGGACUCAGACCUCCACCAGAUUUUAUACGUCCGUUUACAUGCAACAAUUAAUGUGUUCGUCUUUUUACAACCAUCUCACCCCAAACACGGUAAUACUCCCCUUUAUUUUACUUUUUCUUUUAAUAUUUGAGUCAAAGGCUUGAUUUUAUGUAUUAUGUGUGAAAUACUCGAUUUCUAUUGGCCUAAGUGGUCAUGGACUAGAUCGACCAAAUUUGGUCCAGAUCUGGCCGGAUAUUUUGUUCCCCAUUAAUUCUUGGCCAUAGAUUCGUGCAUUGAAUGUAAGAAUGAAAAAAGAUCCACUUUAUACCACAUUGUUGGUUUAGUUUUUUUUUUUUUUUUUUUUGAAAAUUUUGGGGUUCUAUUUAUAGAACCCCAACCCUCAUCAUUUAAAAAAAAAAGGUGGAGAGUCAAUAAAGGCUUGAAUUUUGAGUCGUUUAGUAAAAAAUUUAGACUUAAACAUUUUAAGGUUGAAUCUUUUAGUUCUAAAUUUAUUUUUUUGUGUGUUGGUGUGGCUGAGUUUGGGGUUUAGAAGCACCAAGGCUUCAAAUUCACUCUUGUUCACGGCUGCACCUAAAAAAGCCAACCUGUUGGGGCCCAACAGGAAAUUCUUUCAUAUUAUCGAGUCCGGCGAAGCCGAAAUGGAAGCCAAUAUAUAUUAAAUUCAUAGAAGGCCUAACCACGGGUGAAAAUGACCAAUUAGGGGCUUGGUACGCCCCUAGCCUACCCUUCUUCUUUUUAUUUAUUUAUUUAAGCUGUUUUUCCUUUUAUUUGUGAGGUGUUGUAUUGGUAUUUGAAAUUCCUUGAAAAAACUCAUAUAAAUAUAUUUGAAUCUUUAUUGUUUGAA